UAGGGAAUCUUCCACAAUGGGCGAAAGCCUGAUGGAGCAACGCUGCGUGUGUGAUGAAGGCUUUCGGGUCGUAAAGCACUGUUGUAUGGGAAGAACAGCUAGAAUAGGAAAUGAUUUUAGUUUGACGGUACCAUACCAGAAGGGACGGCUAAAUCGCGCCAG
rnacentral:rRNA from 1 species